ensembl:snRNA U6 U6 spliceosomal RNA
GCGCUCAUUUUGUCAGCACAUAUACUAAAAUUAGAAUGAUACAGUGCAGAUUAGCAUGACCUCUGCACAAGGAUGACAUGAAAAUGUGUGAAGCAGUCCAUAUUUUG